UGAGAUAGAGGUUGCGUGCUUCAUAAGUACCCCAUCGGAUGUGACAGGCACAGGGGAAGAUGGGGAAAAGGGGAGGACGCCGAAAGGGGCAGUACCUGGAGCUGUUUUCCUUGGGCAUGCAGUGAAGAACUGUAUGACUGUCAUCGCGUUGCGAUGGGGCGCUAUUUU
rnacentral:ncRNA from 1 species